rnacentral:rRNA from 1 species
CACGCAGGCGGUCUGUCAAGUCGGAUGUGAAAUCCCCGGGCUCAACCUGGGAACUGCAUUCGAAACUGGCAGGCUAGAGUCUUGUAGAGGGGGGUAGAAUUCCAGGUGUAGCGGUGAAAUGCGUAGAGAUCUGGAGGAAUACCGGUGGCGAAGGCGGCCCCCUGGACAAAGACUGACGCUCAGAUGCGAAAGCGUGGGGAGCAAACA